AGUCUCAUGGUCUAGUUGGUUAUGACGUGUCGUUCACACCGACAAGGUCUCGAGUUCGAACCUCGAUGAGACUA